rnacentral:rRNA from 1 species
UACGUAGGGUGCAAGCGUUGUCCGGAAUUAUUGGGCGUAAAGAGCUCGUAGGCGGUCUGUCGCGUCUGCUGUGAAAACUCAGGGCUUAACCCUGAGCUUGCAGUGGGUACGGGCAGACCAGAGUGCGGUAGGGGAGACUGGAAUUCCUGGUGUAGCGGUGAAAUGCGCAGAUAUCAGGAGGAACACCGGUGGCGAAGGCGGGUCUCUGGGCCGUAACUGACGCUGAGGAGCGAAAGCGUGGGGAGCAAACAGG